rnacentral:rRNA from 1 species
UACGUAGGGUGCAAGCGUUGUCCGGAAUUAUUGGGCGUAAAGAGCUCGUAGGCGGUGUGUCGCGUCGGCCGUGAAAACCUGCAGCUUAACUGUGGGCUUGCGGUCGAUACGGGCAUCACUGGAGUUCGGCAGGGGAGACUGGAAUUCCUGGUGUAGCGGUGAAAUGCGCAGAUAUCAGGAGGAACACCGGUGGCGAAGGCGGGUCUCUGGGCCGAUACUGACGCUGAGGAGCGAAAGCGUGGGGAGCGAACGGG